GAUGAACGCUGGCGGCGUGCCUAAUACAUGCAAGUCGAGCGAACAGACGAGGAGCUUGCUCCUCUGACGUUAGCGGCGGACGGGUGAGUAACACGUGGAUAACCUACCUAUAAGACUGGGAUAACUUCGGGAAACCGGAGCUAAUACCGGAUAAUAUAUUGAACCGCAUGGUUCAAUAGUGAAAGACGGUUUUGCUGUCACUUAUAGAUGGAUCCGCGCCGCAUUAGCUAGUUGGUAAGGUAACGGCUUACCAAGGCAACGAUGCGUAGCCGACCUGAGAGGGUGAUCGGCCACACUGGAACUGAGAAACGGUCCAGAAUCCUACGGGAGGCAGCAGUAGGGAAUCUUCCGCAAUGGGCGAAAGCCUGACGGAGCAAAGCCGCGUGAGUGAUGAAGGUCUUCGGAUCGUAAAACUCUGUUAUUAGGGAAGAACAAAUGUGUAAGUAACUAUGCACGUCUUGACGGUACCUAAUCAGAAAGCCACGGCUAACUACGUG
rnacentral:rRNA from 1 species